rnacentral:misc_RNA from 1 species
GAAAAGAAAGAAAUAAAAAAUUAAAUUGAAUUAUGAUGUAAGCAUGAUGUAAGAAUGAUGACAAAAUGACCUCAUAAAAACUUAAUGAAAUUUUCAUAGGAUAAAGAUGCAAACAUAAGACAAAUUCAAUAAUUAAAAAGCUAUCUUCUUCCUCCCAAAAAUCUUAUUGGCCUAACUCCGUGGGAAGAACCCUUCUUCCAUUUUCAAGCUUUUGAGCUUGAAAUCCUCCCCCUUUCUCACCAUAGAAACCCUAUAUCCUUUCAUUAAAAAUCACUCCCAUACCAUAAGAAAGAUAGUGGUUGCUAAGGAAGUGAAGGAAAUUGGAGUUUUAGCAAAGUGAAGAAGUGGUCCAUAAGGUUAGUGCACUAUUAUGCUCCCCUCCUUCAUUAAACUUUGAAUUUUAGUUAAAAUGAGUUGAAAUUUUAUGAAAUGAAAGGAAAAUCAUGAAUGAAAGGGUAACCCUAAUUUUCGGCAGCCAUUAAAAGAGUUAGGAUUUGAUGAUUUUGACUAAAUCAAUUGUCUAAUAGAGUUGUUUAUGAGCACAUGUGAUAGACAAUUGAUUGGAUAUUAGUUUGGUAUAUACUUGCAUGAAUUGAGUAAUGUUGAGUUAGUGUUUUGACCUAACUUUGAGAACCUAGUAUAUGGCUGAAAUUUGACCUUGUUAAGAUGAUUUGUUGAUCAUUGAAGUUUGGGAGUUAGGAUAAAUUGAAUUGAGAGUGUUAAUUUUUCAUGCAGGAAUUCUGGAUCUAUGGGUUCAGCAUGUUUGAACUGCCAUAACUUGAAUUGUGUUGCUUCAAUUGGUGUGAGGCCAAUUUGAGAUGAAACUAUGGUCAAAAUGCCCCAUUUUUCAUGAAG